rnacentral:rRNA from 1 species
CGCAAGGUGAGUGGCAGACGGGUGAGUAACGCGUGGGAACCUUCCCUUUGGUACGGAAUAACUUCGGGAAACCGAAGCUAAUACCGUAUAAGUCCUUCGGGAGAAAGAUUUAUCGCCAAAGGAUGGGCCCGCGUUGGAUUAGCUAGUUGGUAGGGUAAAGGCCUACCAAGGCAACGAUCCAUAGCUGGUCUGAGAGGAUGAUCAGCCACACUGGGACUGAGACACGGCCCAGACUCCUACGGGAGGCAGCAGUGGGGAAUAUUGGACAAUGGGCGCAAGCCUGAUCCAGCCAUGCCGCGUGAAGGAUGAAGGCCCUCUGGG